rnacentral:rRNA from 1 species
GUGGGGAAUCUUCCGCAAUGGACGAAAGUCUGACGGAGCAACGCCGCGCGAGUGAUGAAGGUCUUCGGAUUGUAAAGCUCUGUUAAUCGGGACGAAAGAGCCUAGUGUGAAUAAUGCUAGGAAGUGACGGUACCGGAAUAGAAAGCCACGGCUAACUACGUGCCAGCAGCCGCGGUAAUACGUAGGUGGCAAGCGUUGUCCGGAAUUAUUGGGCGUAAAGCGCGCGCAGGCGGAUCUGCCAGUCUGUCUUAAAAGUUCGGGGCUUAACCCCGUGAUGGGAUGGAAACUACAGAUCUAGAGUAUCGGAGAGGAAAGUGGAAUUCCUAGUGUAGCGGUGAAAUGCGUAGAUAUUAGGAAGAACACCAGUGGCGAAGGCGACUUUCUGGACGAAAACUGACGCUGAGGCGCGAAAGCCAGGGGAGCGAACGGGAUUAGAAACCCCAGUAGUCC